ensembl:lncRNA
CUGAAAGCGCGGAGGGCAAGGAGUCGAGGCGACGGUAGCGAGGUCGCGGCGCGGGCCAGGCGCGGUGGCCGGCCACUGUUCCUCUCCGAAGGGUUGGCCUCCAGCCGCCAAUACUUCUGGCGAGGCGCUCCCCUGCACACACCCGGACCGGCUCCUCCCUCCGCGGGUUUCUCCUCCUUAAAGGCGCCGGGAAGCUCGGGGCGGUGCCGGUUCCCCGCCCGCCCCCUACCCCCCGACUACCCGCCCCCUGGGCCCCGGCGCACCUCCCCAGGUAGGAGCAGCUGUGGCGGCGCGGCGGGAACCACACGAUCGGAGCGCCGAAGGCGCUUGGAGAUCUCCCCGGCCGGUUCUCUCUGCGCACCGACGGGGAGAAAGAGGCCGAGAGAGGCAGGGACUGUCGGCGCGCAAACUCGGCGCUUCCGGACUUUACCAGCCUGUAUAGAAGGCUGGGACCCACAGGGAGACCUUGGGCCAGUCCCUUCCCACCCGCAAGCCCACAGUUUUCUUUUCUGAGAAUUGAAGGAGGAAAAGCACGUGCAGAUCUUGGAAGGAUAAGGAGGAAGGCUUUUAUCCUUAGGAUUUCGAGACUCGGUGCCGACAGCCAGAGGCUCCGGCCGAGAUGCAGCUUUCCGGCUGCGGAUGCAGGGUUGGGGGAACGAGCCGCGAGAGCACGGGCGGCCAGCUUUCAAGGGUUUUAGUCGCGUUCUUCGUGGCAACGAGCUCCGGGCAGACCCAGCCCCACCAAGCACUGGGCAACUGCCUUCGGAAGCAGGAGGCAGAGAGUCCAAGUCCUCGCUCCGCGGAUCCGGGUAUGGAAGCCAAUCGAACAAUUUACAUGAGGACCUUCCUCCGCGGAUGCACACUCGAACGACUGGAGAGGCUUUUCACUUGCUCAAAACACUCCCAGCUUCCUUCUUCCAAAGUAACCACGCUUCGAAAAUCCAGGUUCACUUUGCUUCCCAUCUCCUAGUCCUCUCCCUUGGGAACUGGCUUUUAGUCAAAUAUGGAAUUGAAAUAACAUAAGCAGACCAACAGCAAUGGAGGAAAAGAGUGUGCUCGUCACACCACACCAUAGCUCUGUUCAGCAUUUUAUCAAUGAUACAGAAGAAGCCAUAGAAGGGAAGCUGAUUGGGCUUGUGGGCUGACCACACUGAGGUGCUGAUGCUGGUAGCUGACAGAUGCAAGACUCAGAAUAAUCACCAGGUUGGGAGACUGAGCCAAAACCAACAAGAAGACAUUUAAAAAACUGUUAUGAAAACAUCAUAACAUUACAGAAGAUAAAGCUGGAAGGAAAAAGUCACCCACAUACCAAUUACCUAUCAUUCAUCUACUGAGGUUGUUUUCUAUGUUCUGUUUUUUUUUUCUCCUUUGUGUUCUUAUGCAUCUAUAUAUUUUUGCAUAGGUGUAACGAUAGAGUGUGUAUAAUUCUAUAGUCUAUACACAAUUCAUUUACAAUAUUUUGUAAACAUAACUGCAUGUUGCGCUUUACUUCCCAUCUUUCAUCUUUAGUUGGGAGUGACAUGGUCUUGUGCUGAUUUAACCCUUUUAUGGUAGAUAGGCAAUUAGGUAGUCGCCAAUAUCUCUGAUAUAGGCGAUGUGGCUAUGUGUUUGUAUAAACAACUUGGUGUUUACUUUGAACUGUCCUUAAGAUAAAUUCCUAAGAGUGAGAUUUAUGGAAUAAAGAAUAUUUUUGUGUUUUUUAAUAUAGUUCUACCAUGUUGUCUCCAGGACAUCUUGCAACUCACCACAAUCAAGAUAAUUAACAUGUGCAUCACCCCUAAACGUUUCCUUGUGCCCCAUGUGAUUGAUUCAUCCACCCCCCACCAUUAUCUGUAGGCAAUCACUGAUCUAUUUAUGUCACUACAGACUAGUUUGCAUUUUAUAGAACAUUAUAUAAAUGGAAUAACAGUGUAUUUUUUGUCUGUUUUCACUGAGCGUAAUUAUUUUGAUAUUCAUCUAUGUUAUUAUAAUAAUCAAAUCCUUUUUUUUGCUAGAUAAUAUUCCAUUACAUGGACAUACCACAGUUUGUUUAUCCAUUCACUUGUUGCUAGACAUUUGGGUUGUUUCCAAUUUUGGCUCUUUUAAACAAGCUGCUAUGAAUAGUUUUGUAUAAGUCUUUGUGUGGCUAAAUACCUUCAAUAAAUACGUAGGAGAAGAAUAUCUGGGUCAGAUGGUAGACAUCUAUCUACCAUCUGACCAAUUUCUUAAAUUUUUAAGAAAUUGCUAAACUUUUCACAAAGUGGCUGUAUUUCUUUUAUUUCUGUUAGCAGUAGGUGAGUUUGAAUUACUUCAUCUGUUCACCAAAACCUAUUCGUACAAUCUUUUAAAUUUUACCCCUUUUAGUAUAUAGUGGUAUCUCAUUAUAGCUUUAAUUUGCAUUUCCCUCAGGACUAAUGAUAUGUUUAUUAUCUAGUGCUGUGUAACAAAUUACCCCCAAAAUUAGUGGCGUAAAACAACAAAUAUUUAUUCUUUCACAGUUUCUAUGGAUCAGGAAUCUGGGUGUGGCUUAGCCAGGUGUAGUUAGCUGAACUGACCCAUCUUAAAAUGGGUCAAAGCUUUAGAUUUAAAGCUGCUUUGAAAUAGAGCUGGAUUUGAGGAAAUUGGGGAGAAGAAGAAAUGAAAGAACAAAGCGUUGGAAAAAUGGACAGAAUUGUCAUUUUUGACAAUUUGACAAAAUUGACAAUUUGUCAAUUUUGACAGUUCUGGGGGAAAAAAAAGAUUUGUCAAGCUGUAGUUUUCCUACUGGAGAGGAGUUUGAAUUUUCCUAAUGAUUCUGUGAAACGGAACAUUUGUUGAACAAUGUACCUGUAUCAGGCUUUGAUGUAGUUCAUUUAGUCAGUCCUCAGAACAGUCCCAUUUUACAGAUUUAGAAAUUGAAAUCUGGAAAGUUAAGUAAAACUCCACCAAGGCCAUAAAUCUAAGAAGGAUUUGAACCCCCGCUCUAUUUCCUAUUGAAGCCCAUAGACUUUCAUUGUGGUACCCUAGUCUGUUCACAUGCUAUUACAUUUUCAGCUCUGCCUCACAGUGUCCUUUGCCUCCAGGGCUCAGAAGACCUCUUGGAGUAAGUUCUAGUGGACAGUAAAAUAUGCAGGGCCUCUGAUCACUCAGUUUUAGCUAACAGCCUGGGUUCUCCUUAGAGACUGAGCUGUGUUGCAAAACCUCCCUGUAGCCUCUACUCUAAAAGGCCUGAGUGGCCUCUGUAAGGUUGACCUCCAACAGUGAAAGACAGUAAGUCUCUACUCCGGCUAUCUUCAUGAAUGAUAUCUGCCUUAUAAUGGAAGAGCCACCUGUGGCCCAGCUUGAGAUGUCUUCUGCCCAGGCAACACCUCCUAUUUCAAUGCCCCUAGAUGCAACAAAUUUUGGUUGUGAAACUGCUUCAAGUUUUAACUUCAAAUAGUGAGUGGGUGUAUGAUCAGGCCAUCCAGGAUGGCUGUUCUCUCUCUCUACCUCCCCUGCUCAAUCAGUCCCUGCCUCACCUAUGCUCUACUCAUCUGACUGACCUUCCCUCUUGAUCAUAGAACCUAAUCAGUAAAUGCCUAGGUACUUGCCCGCUGGCCCCAGCUAGUGAUUGUUCUAAACUUUAGAUCAGAAGGUCUCCAUUAGGACAGUUUAUCAAAGGGUAGUGAGGGGCACGUGCCUCUGAUCAUUUCCCUGGUAACCAAUGAACCAACCUGAUGUCAGUUCCCUCCAUAACUGGUAACCUCCCUCCCCCCACGGUAGCAAAGAUGGCUGCCUGUUGUCCGCAUCCACGAAGGAAUGUCAUUCCAGGACCAUUUUGUGAUGAGAUCUUCUGUCCAAUAAAGCAUUGUGUCUCUGUCUCUGAGCUCUUUCUUCUGUCUUGUGGCUGAGCAAGUAUAGGGCUUACAGGCCUGCAGGUGCAGCCCAACAGUGCGUUUGAGAAGGUUCUGUUUCCUCUCCAGGCUGCUUAUUUAGUCAUCGAACGGGAGGGGAAGAUUUGGUUGGCUUAAUCAAUAGUUGUUCUUACCCCAUGGAAGAGAAGAAUGCAAAGUAUGCUCCAGUCCACAAGAUUACUAGGCAUUGUCUAUUGAUUAAGUCAUUCAUAGGUCUUGCCUCUAUAUGUAUGACUAGUUUUUAAGUGUCUGUAAAGUUUUGUCUUAAAUAAAAUACAAAUCCAUUUAAAGAUGUUACUGAAAUGUUGGUAAUUUUUUGGACCUGAAAUUUAUCAAUCAAUGUUUACCAAAAAAUAUGUCUACCUUAUAUGUACAUAUGUCUACCUUAUAUGCAUUUUGUGAGAACUGUGGAAUUUAUAGCUGUUAAAAAGUAUUCUCACACUCAAAAUAAUUGAAAAGCACUAAAAGACUCCCUAUAGUCUCUCUAGCCAGAUGGAGUACUAGUAAACAUAUUUAACAAACAGUGUGUUGUUCAGUGGGUAUAAAAUUACAGUUAUACAAGGUGAAUCAGUUGUAGAGAUUUCCUGUAGGACAUAGUACCUAUAGUCGUGCACUUAAAAUUUUGUUAAAAGGGUAGAUUGCAUGCUAAAUUCUUAUCACACACACAGAAAUUAAGGGAUAUAAUGAAUCUUUCUGAGUUAACAGAUAUAUCUGUCACUUUGAAUAUAGCGAUAGUAUCACAGAUAUAUGCAUAUGUCCAAACUCAUCAAAAUAAUGCAUUAAACAUGCACAGGUUUUUGUGUACUUAUUG